AAAAAAAAAAAAAAAAUAGAGCUAUAACUUCAACAAUAAAGUAUUUAAGGAGUAUCUCAAGGGAAGUGUGGGCAUGAUGACAUCAAUCCUUCUUGUGCUGCCAGAAUUAAACCUGUCCAUAAAAGAGAUGGGGAGACACAGUGAACCAUUUUAAAGGAUGGCAGAGUUCCCGUGGUUUUAGAGACUCCACUUAAGAAGAUGGAUACAGAAAUGCAGUAGAGCAGUUCAAUUUUGGAUUUUGCCUUUGUUGCUUUGGAUCCAAGCAGAAGCUGAAGGUGCUCCACAAUCUCUUGACUCCAGAAUGUGUGACUUUGCUGUUGUUAACCCAGGGCACUGAAGGAGCAGCCAAUAAACCUGUGGGGGAUCCCCUCCUGCACUGGGAGGAAUCAGAGUGGUCUGAUGG